rnacentral:miRNA from 1 species
UUACUGGUCAUCGUCUUAACUU